rnacentral:rRNA from 1 species
AGAGUUUGAUCCUGGCUCAGAACGAACGCUGGCGGCAUGCCUAACACAUGCAAGUCGAACGCGUGUAGCAAUACACGAGUGGCGCACGGGUGAGUAACGCGUGGGAACCUGCCCUGGAGUGGGGGAUAACCCGGCGAAAGCCGGGCUAAUACCGCAUACGACCUUCGGGUGAAAGAUUUAUCGCUCUGGGAGGGGCCCGCGUCGGAUUAGCUAGUUGGUGAGGUAACGGCUCACCAAGGCGAUGAUCCGUAGCUGGUCUGAGAGGAUGAUCAGCCACACUGGGACUGAGACACGGCCCAGACUCCUACGGGAGGCAGCAGUGGGGAAUAUUGGACAAUGGGGGCAACCCUGAUCCAGCAAUGCCGCGUGAGUGAUGAAGGCCUUAGGGUUGUAAAGCUCUUUCGGCGGGGACGAUGAUGACGGUACCCGCAGAAGAAGCCCCGGCUAACUUCGUGCCAGCAGCCGCGGUAAUACGAAGGGGGCGAGCGUUGUUCGGAAUUACUGGGCGUAAAGGGCGCGCAGGCGGCCUGAGAAGUCAGAUGUGAAAGCCCCGGGCUCAACCUGGGAAUAGCAUUUGAUACUCUGAGGCUGGAGUGCGGGAGAGGAGAGUGGAAUUCCCAGUGUAGAGGUGAAAUUCGUAGAUAUUGGGAAGAACACCGGUGGCGAAGGCGGCUCUCUGGACCGUAACUGACGCUGAGGCGCGAAAGCGUGGGGAGCAAACAGGAUUAGAUACCCCCGUAGUCC